GGCCCUCAGUGACGCCUUCCCUUUCCCAGCUCCCCCAGCUCUUGGCCUCCCCGCUCUCUUCGGGGGCGGCCGCAGACAGGCCCGCCAUCUUGGAAGGCCUUUCCACUCGAGUUCUUGCUAGGGAAAUGUCUGUCGCUCGAGAUGUUGGCGUACCAAGUGGUGACUUCUGCCCCUUCCCCUACUUUCUUCGACUAAGCCAGACCAGUAAGGCCGUGUGCGCAACGUGCUUCAGGAUCCCUCAGGGAAAGCGGCCAACGUGGCGCUCCCCCGCCCCCUCCUUCCCCGCAGGGGUGGCCGCCAUGUUUCCUGGAAACAAAAUGGCGGCACGUGGCCCUGCAUUCGGUACCAACGAGAAAUUGGGGUCGCCGGAAAACUCUAACAUGAGCACCCCCCCCUCCUCGGGGCCUUCCCUGCGCCGGGACUCUUAAGACCACACCGGGAAGCUCGCGGGCGAAUUUUUAACGCGUUUCUCUCCCUUUCAUUUGAAGUGGGAACACGAAUAAGUAAAAUAAAAAGACACUUAAACCUAGAGAGAGGAAAUGACUGAUUCAAGGUCACACAGUGUCCAGGAUGGAAUCCAGAUCUUCUGAUUUCUUUACUGACCUACAGUAUCUUGUGGACAUGUGAAUGAAUUCCACACAACUCGUUUUAUAGAUGAAGCCACGGAGAUAUGGAAGUCACUGCCCCACCCUUGGAGCCUUACACAUGACUCUUCUCCCACUUGAGUGACACAGGUCUUGUAACACGGUGGUUAAGAAUGUGACUUUGGAGCCAGCCUGCUGGGUUCUGAAUUCUGACUCAGCUGUUUACUAACUAUGUGACCUUGGAUAAAGGAAACUGAGGCCUAGAGCGGUCAAAUACUUUGAGAUCUCUGCAGGCCACUGCUCUUCUGGCUACGCACUGACUCUGUAUCUCUUGCUGUUGAAGUUGUUGGCUGUCCACCUUCACCAAGGCCAUCAGCUUCUGGCAGUGUGGGAGCUGAGCUGCUGGAAUGCUUUUUCUAACAGCAGGCUGUAGCCUUUCCUCCAUCCUUGCCCACUUCACACCACAAAGCAGGCACUCUUCUCAGGAGGCUACUGGCUGUAGCCUGACCGUUUCACCUGGUUGCUUCUCCAAUUUCCCCAAACCCCUCUUUAUUUUUCCUUUCCUACUCCUUUUUUAUUUUUCUUUGCCAUGCAAUAUCAGAGAAGUGUGGUGAUAAGGUGGGGAGGAUUGUCCAGCUUCCUCUGGCAGUUGUUUUUAUGCUUUCUACUUCUGGUCUUCUGUACCUUCUAGAAUUCCUGUCAGUAGACAACUCAAGUUUUGUGUUUUUCUUUGGAGCUUUCAGGAUCUCACACAUAGCCCAUAGUUUAUAGCUGUGAGCAGAGAAGGGGUGGUGUCAUGGCAGCACUGGCUUUGAGGGCACCAAUCGUCAUGUUAUUGAUGAACUCAACCCACCACAGUGGCUCUCUCCCUUGCUGAUGGAGUUUCGAUGUGUUGUCCCCCCAAAUCUCAUGUGGAAGUCUGAUCCCCAGUGUGGCAGUGUUGGAAACUGAUUGAGUCAUGGGGACAGGUCCCUCAUGAAUGGAUUAAUGCUCUCCUUGGGGGAGAGGGGAUUAAUGAGUGAGUUCUCAUUCUAUUAGUUCCCGCGAGAGCUCGUUGCUUAAAGGACCCUGGCACCUCCUCGCUCUCUCUUGCUUCCUCUCACUAUGUGAUCUGCUUGUACCCGCCAGCGGCCUGCCGCUUUCCGCUAUGAGUAGAAGCAGCCUGAGGCCUGUGCCAGAUGCAGCUGUCCCAGAAUCGUAAGCCAAAUAAACCUCCGUUCUUUAUAAAUUA